AUGUCCCCUGUCCCUCUGUCCCCCUGUCCCCAUUUCAAUGUCCCCCUGUCCCCAUGUCGCCUAUCCCCCUGUCCCUGUCCCCAUUUCAGUGUCCCCAUGUCCCUGUCCCAUGUCCCUGUCCCAUGUCCCUGUCCUUGUCCCAUGUCCCUGUCCCUGUUCCCAUGUCCCUGUCCCAUGUCCCUGUCCCUGUUCCUGUUCCCAUGUCCCAUGUCCCUGUUCCCAUGUUCCUGUUCCCAUGUCCCUGUCCCUGUCCCAUGUCCCUGUCCCAUGUCCCAUGUCCCUGUCCCUGUUCCUGUUCCCAUGUCCCAUGUCCCUGUUCCCAUGUUCCUGUUCCCAUGUCCCUGUCCCUGUCCCAUGUCCCUGUCCCUCUGCGUCCCCCUGUGUCACCUGUGUGCCACUCUGCGUCCCCUCGUGUCACCUGUGUGCCACUCUGCGUCCCCCUGUGUCACCUGUGUGUCACUGUGUGCCCCUCUGCGUCCCCCUGUGUCACCUGUGUGCCACUCUGCGUCCCCUCGUGUCACCUGUGUGCCACUCUGCGUCCCCCUGUGUCACCUGUGUGUCACUGUGUGCCCCUCUGCGUCCCCCUGUGUCACCUGUGUGCCACUCUGCGUCCCCUCGUGUCACCUGUGUGCCACUCUGCGUCCCCCUGUGUCACCUGUGUGUCACUGUGUGCCCCUCUGCGUCCCCUCGUGUCACCGUGUGCCACUCUGCGUCCCUCUGUGUCCCCUCUGUGUCACCGUGUGUCUCUCUGUGUCCCCUGUGUCACCCAUGCGCCAUUCUGUGUCCCCUCUGUGUCCUCCCUGUGUCCCCUCUGUGUCUCCUCUGUGUCACCCAUGUGCCACUCAGUGUCCACUUGUGUCCCCUCAGUGCCCUGCUGUCCCCAUGAUCGUUGUGUCCAUGUCCCUGUCUGUCCCCUGUCCCUGUGACUGUGUCCCUGUGUCACCCCCUGUUGCUGUGACUGUGUCCCCACAGUGUCCCCCUGUCUCACCUGGUGUCCCCGUGUCCUCCCCAGUGUCCCAGUGA
rnacentral:lncRNA from 1 species